UAAGUGUAAGUGUCUGCACCU
rnacentral:siRNA from 1 species